AACGAACGCUGGCGGCAUGCCUAACACAUGCAAGUCGAACGAAUGUAGCAAUACAUGAGUGGCGAACGGGUGAGUAACGCGUGGGAACCUGCCUAGUGGUAGGGAAUAACCGCGGGAAACUGCGGCUAAUACCCUAUGAGCCCUCCGGGGGAAAGGAUUUAUCGCCAUUAGAGGGGCCCGGCGUCGGAUUAGCUAGUUGGUGGGGUAACGGCCCACCAAGGCGACGAUCCGUAGCUGGUCUGAGAGGAUGAUCAGCCACACUGGGAC
rnacentral:rRNA from 1 species